AGAAUCAACGCUGGCGGCGUGCCUAACACAUGCAAGUCGAACGAGAAAGUGGAGCAAUCCAUGAGUAAAGUGGCGCACGGGUGAGUAACACGUGACUAACCUACCCUUGAGUGGGGGAUAACCUAGAGAAAUCUGGGCUAAUACCGCAUAAUACCUUCGGGUCAAAGGAGCAAUUCGCUUAAGGAGGGGGUCGCGGCCGAUUAGUUAGUUGGCGGGGUAAUGGCCCACCAAGACUAUGAUCGGUAUCCGGCCUGAGAGGGCGCACGGACACACUGGAACUGAAACACGGUCCAGACUCCUACGGGAGGCAGCAGUGGGGAAUUUUGCGCAAUGGGGGAAACCCUGACGCAGCAACGCCGCGUGGAGGAUGAAGUCCCUUGGGACGUAAACUCCUUUCGAUCGGGACGAUAAUGACGGUACCGAGAGAAGAAGCCCCGGCUAACUUCGCGCCAGCAACGC
rnacentral:rRNA from 1 species